AACGUCGCAAGACCAAAGAGGGGGACCUUCGGGCCUCUUGCCAUCGGAUGUGCCCAGAUGGGAUUAGCUUGUAGGUGGGGUAACGGCUCACCUAGGCGACGAUCCCUAGCUGGUCUGAGAGGAUGACCAGCCACACUGGAACUGAGACACGGUCCAGACUCCUACGGGAGGCAGCAGUGGGGAAUAUUGCACAAUGGGCGCAAGCCUGAUGCAGCCAUGCCGCGUGUAUGAAGAAGGCCUUCGGGUUGUAAAGUACUUUCAGCGGGGAGGAAGGGAGUAAAGUUAAUACCUUUGCUCAUUGACGUUACCCGCAGAAGAAGCACCGGCUAACUCCGUGCCAGCAGCCGCGGUAAUACGGAGGGUGCAAGCGUUAAUCGGAAUUACUGGGCGUAAAGCGCACGCAGGCGGUUUGUUAAGUCAGAUGUGAAAUCCCCGGGCUCAACCUGGGAACUGCAUCUGAUACUGGCAAGCUUGAGUCUCGUAGAGGGGGGUAGAAUUCCAGGUGUAGCGGUGAAAUGCGUAGAGAUCUGGAGGAAUACCGGUGGCGAAGGCGGCCCCCUGGACGAAGACUGACGCUCAGGUGCGAAAGCGUGGGGAGCAAACAGG
rnacentral:rRNA from 1 species